rnacentral:rRNA from 1 species
GACGAACGCUGGCGGCGUGCUUAACACAUGCAAGUCGAACGGAAAGGCCCUGCUUGCAGGGUGCUCGAGUGGCGAACGGGUGAGUAACACGUGGGUGAUCUGCCCCUUACUUUGGGAUAAGCCUGGGAAACUGGGUCUAAUACUGGAUAGGACCAUGCUGUAGGGGGGGUGGGGGAAAGAUUAGUUUCGGUAAGGGAUGAGCUCGCGGCCUAUCAGCUUGUGGGUGGGGUAAUGGCCUACCAAGGCGUCGACGGGUAGCCGGCCUGAGAGGGUGGACGGCCACAUUGGGACUGAGAUACGGCCCAGACUCCUACGGGAGGCAGCAGUGGGGAAUAUUGCACAAUGGGCGCAAGCCUGAUGCAGCGACGCCGCGUGGGGGAUGACGGCCUUCGGGUUGUAAACUCCUUUCAGCCAUGACGAAGCCCUUGUGGUGACGGUAGUGGUAGAAGAAGCACCGGCUAACUACGUG